AAUUGCUAAAUUGAACAGCAAUAACCAUGGGAGAUGCUGCAAAACCUUGCUUUGCUAAACAAAAUAAGGAACAGGAGAUUUUACACCAAGAAGAAUUAAAAGGAAGCCCCUUACAGAAAGACUACCGAGUCAUGGAUGAAUAUGGAAGUGGCCACAGCAAUAAAACAGAUACCAGCCUGCAAAAGAAAAAGGGAACACCAGGUCAUUAUGGAAGCAGUCCCAGGCGAGGCCCACGUAGUGUUUUGAGUACCCCAAAUUCACUUAAAAACACAACUUACAGUCAAGGGUCAAAGAUAAAUGAUACCCAGAGAGACCAAAUGAAGAAGUGGGUAUCUGAUGACCACCGUGGUGCUUCUGACAGCUGGAGAGAGUAUAGAUCUGUUGCCUGGGUUCCUGUGCAUAGCAGGACAAGAAAAGAUUCUUUUCACGAGGCUGAAGGUGCUGGAAACAGAAAUGUAAGGCGACAACUUCAGGAAGAGUUAAUGAGUGAAGACAUGACAGAUAUGCAGAAAGGAAGCUCUGAAAUGAAGAAGCUUAGGAAACCAAGAAGAUCAAGAAGAACUAGAAAAGAUGAGUAUGAUCAAGAUGAAGUGGAUGGUCCAGUCAUAGAUGAAUCUGUGCUGUCGGCAAAAGAACUUCUAGGGUUGCAGCAGGCUGAAGAACGAUUGAAGCGAGACUGCAUUUAUAGACUGAAGAAGCAACCUCGAAGCUACCCAUCAGCAAAAUAUACCUGCAAGUUGUGUGAUGUUUUGAUUGAGUCGGUGGCUUUUGCUCAUAAGCAUAUUAAAGAGAAAAGACACAAGAAAAGCCUAAAGGAAAAGCAAGAAGAACAGUUGCUGACUGCUCUGCCUCCUCCAACACCUUCCCAGAUACAAGCUAUUGGUGUUGCUAUUGAAAAUGUAGUGCAGGAGUUUGGCUUGAAUAAUGAAGAUGUAGAAGAAAGGCUCAACAUUAAAACAGUGAUGGAAAACUUACUGCGUCAAAAAUUGCCAGAGUGCUCAUUAAGAUUGUAUGGCUCCUCCUAUAGCAGAUUUGGUUUCAAAACUUCAGACAUAAACAUAGAUAUCCAGUUUCCUGCCAAUAUGACUCAACCAGAUGUUCUCUUACUUGUGCAAGAAAGUCUCCAGCACAGUGAAUCUUUUACGGAAGUUGAUGCAGAUUUCCAUGCUAGAAUACCAGUGGUGGUGUGCAAAGAAAAGCAAAGUGGCCUUAUUUGUAAAGUGAGUGCAGGGAAUGAGAAUGCUUGUCUGACAACAAACCAUUUGGCUACACUUGGAAAACUGGAACCUACUGUAGUACCUUUAGUGAUUGCCUUCAGGUACUGGGCAAAGUUGUGCUGUGUUGAUCAUCCUGAAGAGGGAGGCUUGUCACCUUACGUGUUCGCUUUAAUGGUUAUUUUCUUUCUACAACAGAGGAAAGAUCCUUUUCUACCUGUCUAUUUGGGAUCAUGGAUUGGAGGAUUCUCAUUGAACAAAUUAACUAAUUUUAAUCUGAAAGAAGUCGAGAAUGAUGCUGUGGUUUGGGAGCAUAACCCUACUGAUGAUUCUGAUUUUCCACAAGAAACUUCCCCUAGAAGGGGCAAGGUUCCCUUAGUAUUUGGUUCAGGACAGCAGUGUUCAGCACCUGCUGGUCAGCUCUGGGUAGAACUGCUUCGUUUCUAUGCCUUGGAGUUCAAUAUGGCUGAUUUGGUUAUUAGCAUACGACUCAAAGAAACAGUGUCUCGAGAAUCAAAGGACUGGCCUAAAAAGCGCCUUGCUGUGGAAGACCCGUAUUCAGUCAAAAGGAAUGUGGCAAGAACUCUGAACAGCCAGUUAGUGUAUGAGUAUAUUCUUCACUGCCUGAGAGCAACUUACAAGUAUUUUGCCUUGCCUCACAAAAAAAGUGCAAAAUUGAGCAAAAAAUCCUCUCCAAAUGCCAAUGAGGAGAAAUCUCAAAUGUUGGACCAUGGAAAAGAUGCUAUAAUGCAUGAAAAUUCUGAGUUUAAGAACUUGGAUGAAGUUAGAACCAACACAGCUAUAGUGGAAGAUUGCGUAGCAGAGACUACAGGUAUGCCCCAGGCACAUAGAAUUGAUCCUUCAAAACUGUGUGAUGGCUCAGAAAGCUUCACAGAAGAAGAACUGGCUGAUGAUGUAAGUCAUUUGGGAAUUGCCCAUGAAGAUUCAGACUGUAUAAUUGAGGAAGUUAUUUCUGGAGAUAAUGAGGAUUUUAAACCGAGUUGUGAAGAGACAGAGAGUGGAAAUGAAGAGGAAGAAGAGGAGGAAGAAGAAGAACAUGAACAACAAAAAAGAAGAUGGAACAACAUCUUGACUACUGAGCAGGGAAUAGAUGAAGACAGUGAUAGUGGAGAUCUCCCCGUUACAGUGAAUGAGCAUGAUAUGGAGACAUGUAGUACUUCAGACUUGGAAGGUUUUCAAAACACUACGCUUACAGAGAGUGAUGAGUUUGGCUUAGAGUGCAGUGGUAUAAUGGAUGACAAGAUUGACAUUUAUGAGGAGAGCACCGAAGGUACUGAUGAACUGGAUGAAUCCCCAAAAAAAUUCACUCAUUCAGCACAGAGUCAAAUAUCCCAAAUGAUUAACUCAGAUGAUGAUGAAGAGGAGGAGGAAGAACCAAGUCUUCUAAAUGAGAGGGAGUGUGGAGCUGGAGAUGAACUAGAUAACACAUACACUGCAUCUGGAGAUGACGAUGCGCUGUCAGAGGAGGAAGAUGAAUUUUCCAUCCCCAAUAAAUAUGAGGACAAGCAUUUUGAAGAAAGUGUGGGUGGACCUCUGAAGAUCAAUUUGAGUCAAGAGGAUCUUACUGAGAAGGGAAGCCUUUUUGAAGAGAACAGAGCAAUAGAAGCAUGCUUAGAAUCUGAACUCUUUUAUGAAUUCAGUAAACCAGCUUUUACAAAGGGCAAGUCUCCCACAGUAGUAUGUAGCUUAUGCAAACGGGAAGGUCAUUUAAAGAGAGAUUGUCCAGAAGACUUCAAGAAAAUUGAGCUUGACCCACUGCCAGCGCUGACACCCAAAUUUUCAGUUAUUCUAGAUCAAGUUUGUGUCCAAUGUUACCGUGAUUUUGCUCCAAAUAAUGUAGAGGAUCAGGCUCGGGAACAUAUAAGACAGAACUUGGAAAACUUCAUUAGGCAGGAUUUCCCAGGAACCAAGCUGAAUUUGUUUGGCUCCUCAAAAAAUGGCUUUGGCUUCAGACAAAGUGACCUUGAUAUCUGUAUGACGAUUGAUGGGCUGGAAACUGCUGAGGGGCUUGAUUGCAUCAGAAUAAUUGAAGAUUUAGCAAAAGUUCUCAAGAAACAGUCAGGUUUAAGAAAUGUCUUGCCUAUAACAACUGCUAAAGUCCCCAUUGUCAAAUUUUUCCAUGUCAGAAGUGGUCUUGAAGUAGACAUCAGUUUAUAUAAUACUCUGGCCUUGCAUAACACACGACUCCUGUCAUCAUACGCAGCCAUUGAUCCUAGAGUAAAAUAUCUGUGUUACACAAUGAAAGUCUUUACAAAGAUAUGUGACAUUGGAGAUGCAUCUCGAGGUAGCCUUUCUUCUUAUGCAUAUACUCUUAUGGUGCUUUAUUUUCUUCAACAGAGAAAUCCACCUGUCAUCCCUGUUCUUCAAGAGAUUUACAAAGAACCAAAAAAGCCUGAAAUUCUAGUUGAUGGCUGGAACGUUUAUUUCUUUGAUAAGAUAGAGGAGUUGUCAGUUGUUUGGCCAGACUGUGGCAAAAACACUGAAUCUGUUGGGCAACUGUGGCUGGGACUUCUCCGUUUCUACACAGAAGAAUUUGAUUUCAAAGAGCACGUCAUCUGCAUUAGGAGAAAAAAUCUGCUUACAACUUUCAAGAAGCAGUGGACCUCCAAAUACAUUGUAAUUGAAGACCCCUUUGAUCUGAACCACAAUCUUGGAGCUGGAUUGUCAAGAAAAAUGACAAAUUUUAUAAUGAAGGCUUUUAUCAAUGGCAGAAGGGUAUUUGGUACCCCUAUAAAAAUAUUUCCUAAAGAAUAUCCAUCAAAAAUGGAGUAUUUUUUUGACCCAGAGGUACUAACAGAAGGAGAAUUGGCACCAAAUGAUAGAUGCUGCAGAAUUUGUGGUAAAAUUGGCCAUUUCAUGAAAGAUUGUCCCAUGAGAAGAAAACUAAGACGGCGUCGUGAUUACGACGAUAACAAAAACCAGAGGUACACAGAAAACAAGGAGAAAAGGAGCAAAGAGGAGAAAGAAACUCAGAAUAAAACAACAGAAAAGGAGAGCUCAGUCAAGGAGGGAAAGUUACACCUAUGUACACCUCAGAAGAGGAAACUACAGAGGGUAGUAAUGGAAACUGGAAGAGAAAAGACUCCCAGGCAAUCGGCAGAGAAGUGGAAGCGCCUGGAAGACAGAGACUUAAGAGAAAAACGUUGUUUUAUCUGUGGAAGAGAAGGUCAUAUUAAAAAGGAGUGCCCACAGUAUAAAGCAGCUGCAGGUAUGAAACUGAUCAAGCUGAGUAGUUUAAGCAGAGCUUAUGUUUUUUGGUAUGUUUUAACAGGCUAUUUUUUUAAUAUAGUCACAUUAGUUGGUUUUCCCUUCACCCUCACCUACCUUUCAGAACUUUGCUGUAUCCCAAGAGAUUUGACAUGGUUUCUAUCAGCAGUACAUCAUAAUUGGAACAACAGCUAGCUUUAUAGCUUUUCACAUCACCUAAACCAGAAUUAUUCCAUAAAGACCCUGAAGUCACUAACAAAGUGUACAAAUUGCUCAGAUAGAAUAUUGUGAAUGAAAUAAUGUUCCUGCCAACUCAGCAGUAAGAGGGAUACAGAAAUCUGUGUUAUUUUUCAUGGAGUCAGUUUGAAACUGUGGUUUAAAGAAAGAACAACCUACAAAAAUGCCCUCCAAAUCCAGAUCCUGACCAACAGACCUGAAAAAAUAAUGAAAUGCUUGCUCGGCAGCAAGUCAGUCAUCCUUCAGAUAAGACAGAUCUCUCAUCAUCUGGGUGGUAAAGGAAAAUCAUUCUAAGGUAAAAUUGAGACUCCUUAAGACAGGGGAUGGAACUUUCAGUUAGCUUCCAAAGGAACACAGCAUUAUUGUUUCUCCUGAAGGUAAACCUUUAAAUUCAUGCUGGAAAAAUUUGCUCUACAGAUUACUCAUGACUUGACCUCUUAAAGUAACAAGUAGGAGUCCUUUGUAUAAACAUAAUUUCAAACCAGCUCUUCUCUACUUGCAAAAAUGUUCUGUCUGGCUUAGUUCAGGAGACUUUCUUAAUCAGGUGUCACUGGUGGAAAAGGGCAUAGGACUGUGCUAACAAAGUACUGGAAGCAGGAGGAAAAUGGUGUAAAUAUAUUCAGAACUUUCAGGGUGUUUAGAAAUACUCCUAGUCUGAUAGACCACUAGAAGUGUUGGGUGGGCAGAAAAGAUGUUUAAAAAUUGAAACCACAUCUUAUUCAGCUUCUGACCCUUUGAAGGUGUAUGUCAAGUCUAAAUUUAACUUUUGAGUUUCUUUAUCUUUGACCUUGUCUCACUGAGCAUUUCUUUCUACCAUUCCGUUUGCCAUGAUACUGAGUCUGCCCAGGUUGAAGGGGAAUAUGCCUGACUGUUUUGUGGGCAGUGACAUUCGUGUGUUUUAUAACAUUCAUCAUAUGAGAACUAUGCUGAGGCUGUACAGUACGGAUAUCUAAAAUCAGGAAUUCUGGAGUAGGAGUUUUUGUCUAUUAUCUGUAUUUAGGGAAUUCCUAUAUUUGAAUUUGAAGAGAAUUGCUGUAGGUUGGUCUUUUUUUGCUUGCUUAGUGCCUGAAGUGUUUUCUCCAGUAGAAUAGCCAACUAUGAACAACUGGACCUAAGAGAUCAGACUUUGGUUUUUGCUGUGUUACAAGUAUAUUGUGAGACUAUGGACACUUCACUUAUCACCGUAUCUUCAUUCAUUCUUUGAAGUUCCCUGUCUCCCUCUGAUUCUGGGAGAGUACAGAACUUAAUUUACUGUAGGUUCCUAAUGUAGAUGCAUAGCUAUAGAUGCAUCUCAACUCAUUGUGCCAGUUUUCCACAUUAUAAAACUGAGGAAAAAUAUGGAUGUCCUACCUUCCACAUACUAUGAAGGUAGAUUGCAAAUAUUUUGGUAUUUUUAGAUCUUACGAUACCUGAAGUGGAAACUAGUUUCAAAUUAGCAAAUCUUUGUUAUAUUAUGAUCGUUUCAGGUGGUUCAAAACCAGAAGCCGUGUGUGGAUCCCCUUCUUUACCCAGCACUGCCAAACAUGCUGGUAGAUUAAAUCAGGGAGUGUUUAUACAUGAAGA